rnacentral:lncRNA from 1 species
UGCAUGAAUAAAUCUCAUGGAUUUAAUUACACGUGUUUAUCACCAUGUAUUGGAAACACAGAGGGAACUCUAAGAAAAGUAUGCAAGAAGAACUGUUAGGAAAUAAUUAUUGCACUGGGAUAAGAUUCUUCUAACUCAUUGUAUUGCCUCUAACAAUGGACAGUAAGUGACGUGUAUA